rnacentral:lncRNA from 1 species
AUGGCCAGGAGGAGCAGACAUCAUGGACAUGAGAGGAUAUUUUGGACGGUAAAGGAUAACGGACGUGGGAAGAAAUCAUGGCCGGAAAGGAUCGCCUUCCAUGGGAGCAGACGGACGCAGCAAGAGAGCAUCAACGACGACUCCGGGGUUCGCAAGCACGAGAGGCACACGGGGUGGUUGGCGGAGCCAGGUUCCAGACCAGAGCCAACUCCCCGCACUCGCUUUAAGAAGCGUGUGACCGUUCAGGCACCAUGUUAUGUGGUGAUACGCACUGUGUCUCCAGUGAGCAUUCACAGCCCGGUGCACUCGGUGUCAGCUCUCCACACUUGCCGUGCGAAAAUGAGCAUCCGGCCAGGACGGGUUGUGCCGGCUCAGCGCUCCUGGUCUCCAGUACGCCUCCUCGGACCAGGAUAUCCUGUGCCGGCUCUACACACUGUGUUUCCAGUGUUUCUUGACAGCCCAGUGCGUCCUGUGCCAGCGCCCCGCACUUGCCGGGCUAAAGUGAGCAUCCAGACAGGAUGGGUUGUGCUAGCUCUACGCUCUAGUCCUCCAAUGCGCCUCCUGAUGCGUGGGACCGAUGCUACCUGUACCGGUCCCACGCAUCAGGCCUCCAGUGCACCUCCAGCUUCCAGCGACAGUUCCCGGUCCGGAGCUUCCGGCGACGGUCCCCGGUCCGGAGCUUCCGGCGACGGUCCCCGGUCCGGAGCUUCCGGCGACGGUCCCCGGUCCGGAGCUUCCGGCGACCGUCCGGGAGCUUCUCGGCGACGGUCCCGGUCCGGAGCUUCCGCGACGGUCCGAGCGUCCGGCGACGGUCCCGCCGGAGCUCCGGCGACGGUCCCCGGUCCGGAGCUUCCGGCGACGGUCCCCGGUCCGGAGCUUCGGCGACGGUCCCCGGUCCGGACUUCCGGCGACGGUCCCCGUCCGGAGCUUCCGGCGACGGUCCCCGGUCCGGAGCUGGUUCCGGCGACGGUCCCCGGUCCGGGCUUCCGGCGACGGUCCAGAGCUUCCGGCACGGUCCGGAGCUGGUCCGAGCUUCCGGCGACGGUCCGGAGCUGGUCCAGAGCUUCCGGCGACGGUCCGGAGCUGGGGUCCAGAGCUUCCGGCGACGGUCCGGAGCUUUCCGGCGACGGUCCCCGGUCCGGAGCUUCCGGCGACGGUCGGAGCUUCCGGCGACGUCCUCCGGAGCUUCCGCGACGGUCCGGAGCUUCCGGCGACGGUCCCCGGUCCGGAGCUUCCGGCGACGGUCCCCGUCCAGCUUCCCGGCGACGGUCCCCCCCGGUCCGGGGCUUCCGGCGACGGUCCAGCAGCUUCCGGCGACGUUCCCCGGUCCGGGGCUCCGGCGACGGUCCAGAGUUCCCUCCGGCGACGGUCCGGAGCUGGGUCCAGAGCUUCCUCCCGGCGACGGUCCGGACUGGUCCGAGCUCCGGCGAGGCCGGAGCUGGUCCAGAGCUUCCGGCGACGGUCCAGAGCUUCCGGCGACGGUCCGGAGCUGGUCCGAGAGCUUCCGCGACGGUCCGGAGCUGGUCCGAGUUCGGCGACGGUCCGGAGCUCCGGCGACGGUCCCCCGGUCCGGGGCUUCCGGCGACGGUCCAGAGCUUCCGGCGACGGUCCGGGGCUUCUCCGGCGACGGUCCGGAGCUUCCCGGCGACGGUCCCGGGUCCGGAGUUCCGC